rnacentral:rRNA from 1 species
AUUGAACGCUGGCGGCAGGCCUAACACAUGCAAGUCGAGCGGAUGAAGGGAGCUUGCUCCUGGAUUCAGCGGCGGACCGGUGAGUAAUGCCUAGGAAUCUGCCUGGUAGUGGGGGAUAACGUCCGGAAACGGGCGCUAAUACCGCAUACGUCCUGAGGGAGAAAGUGGGGGAUCUUCGGACCUCACGCUAUCAGAUGAGCCUAGGUCGGAUUAGCUAGUUGGUGGGGUAAAGGCCUACCAAGGCGACGAUCCGUAACUGGUCUGAGAGGAUGAUCCGUCACACUGGAACUGAGACACGGUCCAGACUCCUACGGGAGGCAGCAGUGGGGAAUAUUGGACAAUGGGCGAAAGCCUGAUCCAGCCAUGCCGCGUGUGUGAAGAAGGUCUUCGGAUUGUAAAGCACUUUAAGUUGGGAGGAAGGGCAGUAAGUUAAUACCUUGCUGUUUUGACGUUACCAACAGAAUAAGCACCGGCUAACUUCGUG